AUUGAACGCUGGCGGCAGGCUUAACACAUGCAAGUCGAGCGGGGUGAUGGUGCUUGCACUAUCACUUAGCGGCGGACGGGUGAGUAAUGCUUAGGAAUCUGCCCAUUAGUGGGGGACAACAUCUCGAAAGGGAUGCUAAUACCGCAUACGUCCUACGGGAGAAAGCAGGGGAUCACUUGUGACCUUGCGCUAAUAGAUGAGCCUAAGUCGGAUUAGCUAGUUGGUGGGGUAAAGGCCUACCAAGGCGACGAUCUGUAGCGGGUCUGAGAGGAUGAUCCGCCACACUGGGACUGAGACACGGCCCAGACUCCUACGGGAGGUAGCAGUGGGGAAUAUUGGACAAUGGGGGGAACCCUGAUCCAGUCAUGCCGCGUGUGUGAAGAAGGCCUUAUGGUUGUAAAGCACUUUAAGCGAGGAAGAGGCUCUUUUGGUUAAUACCCAAGAUGAGUGGACGUUACUCGCAGAAUAAGCACCGGCUAACUCUGUGCCAGCCGCCGCAGUAA
rnacentral:rRNA from 1 species